AUGAACGUUGGCGGCGUGGAUUAGGCAUGCAAGUCGUACGGGGCCGCAAGGGCCAAGUGGCGCAAAGGGUGAGUAAGGCGACGGCAACCUACCCCAUGGCCCGGGUAUAGCCGCGGGAAACCCGCGGGUAAUCCCCGGCGACGCGGGCGGCCCGGCCAUCGGGCCGCCGCCAAAGCUCCGGCGGCCGUGGGACGGGCCGUCGUGGUAUUUAGGUCCGUUGGCGGGGUCACGGGCCCCACCAAGCCUGCGAUGCCUACCGGGCUGUGCGAGCGCGGCCCGGCACACUGGGACUGAGACACUGCCCAGACUCCUACGGGAGGCUGCAGUCGAGAAUCUUCGGCAAUGGGUCGCAAGCCUGACGAGCGACGCCCGCGGUGGAGGACGAAGGCCCUCGGGUUGUAAACUAUCCUGUCGAGGGGAAGAAGGCACCCCGCAAGGGGGCCUUGACUGAUCCCCUGGAGGAAGCACGGGCUAAAGUUCCGUGCCAGAGCAGGCCGCGGGUAAGACGAACCGUUGCGAACGUUAUUCGGAAUCACUGGGCUCUUAAGAAGCGCGGUGUUAGGCGGGCCGGCACGUCGGCACGCUGAAAUCCCCCGGCCUCAACCCGGGGAGAAGGGGCGGCCGAUAACGACCGGCCUGGAGGGGCGUAGGGGGACCGGGAACUUUCCGGUGGAGCGGUGAAAUGCGUUGAGAUCGGAAGGAAACGCCCGUGGCGAAAAAAGCGCGGUCCUGGACCGCCUGCCUGACGCUGAAGACGCGAAAGCCAGGGGAGCGAACGGGAUUAGAUACCCCCGGUAGUCCUGGCCGUAAACGAUGGGCAACUGGGGUAGGGGGGCUCCGCCGAUGGGGCUCCCUGCCGCCAGGGAAACCGUGAAGUGCCCCGCCUGGGGGAGUAUGGUCGCAAAGGCUGAAACUCAAAGGGAAUUGACUGGGGGCUCACACAAGCGGUGGAGCAUGUGGCCUUAAUUCGAGGGCAUACGCGCCAGAAACCUUAUCCGCGGGGCUUGACAUGCACGGAUUAGCCGGCGGAAACGUCGGCCGAGGCCCGCAAGGUACAACGAUGCACAGGUGCUGCAUGGCUGUCGUCAGCCUCGUGUCGUGAAGAUGUUGGGGUUACUAAGUCCCCCGUAACGAGCGAAACCCCUGUGUCUAGUUGCCAGCGCGUCACGGCCGGGGACUCUAGACAGACCCGCCGGCGUGAAGCCGGAGGAGGAAGGCGGGGCGACGAACGUCAAGUCCCUCAUGGCCCUUAUGCCCGGGGCUGCACACGUGCCUACAAUGGGGCGGACAGAGCGACGCGAUGCCGCAAGGCCGAGCCAAUCGCAAAGAAAACCGCCCCCCAGUUCGGAUUGCGGGCUGCAACCCGCCCGCCAUGAAGCCGGAAUCGCUAGUAAUUCGCGGAAUCAGCACCGCCGCGGUGAAUGUGUUCCUGAGCCUUGUACAUACACCGCCCCGUCAAGCCACCAAGCGGGGGGGCACCCGAUAGUCGCCGAAGCCCGCAAGGGCAGGCGCCGAAGGUGAAACCCGUGGAUGGGGACU
rnacentral:rRNA from 1 species